AUUGGGAAUAAAAAAAAAAUGUCUGCGCCCGAUCUCGGAAGCUAAGCAGGGUCGGGCCUGGUUAGUACUUGGAUGGGAGACCGCCUGGGAAUACCAGGUGCUGUAAGUU
rnacentral:rRNA from 1 species